AAUCUCAUGGUUUGGGCAUUUGGCUAACUUUCUAUUAAAUCUCUCCCAUACUUCAUGAAGCGAGUCCCCACUCUUUUGUAUAAAGUUGAUGAUCUCAUCUCUUGUGU
rfam:Capsicum annuum cultivar Zunla-1 chromosome 12, whole genome shotgun sequence